CCCCCAGCUAGGCAGAGCCGUGGGUCCAGACGACGCUCUGGGUCGGGGGCUUCUAAGUCUAAGCCGGAUCUGCGGACCGUACUUAAGGCUAAGAGGUCCUCGGCCAAUAAGCCCUGACGCCACUGGCCCGGGGCUUAUGAGGGCAGUCCCCUCUGUGGUGCAGCAGGUCACACCGCAUUACACGGUGUCCGUCUCGCCUCAGUGCCCUCAGGAGAUCGGUCUGCCAACCCUGCCGGAGUUACAGGGCGCAGCGGUCUCCCGCGAGCACCACUCUCAGUUACCGCCCGGAAACGUAGCGUUGCUGAGAGGCUCACCACCUCCGUGGAGGUCUCGAGAACAGCUAGUUCGGCCAUCUCCUGCCGGUCCGCCAUUACAGGGCACCGAACUAGCUGUUCUGAUUACACCAGAGGUCAGUCUCGAGAGACUGAUUCCCUUAGUAGAUCAUUUAGCAGCGUGGAAACUACUGCCAAAUGUGUCUCAAUGGGUCCUGCACACUGUAGAAAGAGGCUACAGAAUCCAGUUUGGUUCUCCUCCGCCUCGGUUCAACGGGAUUACUCCCAUCCUGGUGGGCCCCGAGCAGGCUCUGGUUAUGGAACAGGAAGUGCUCACUCUCCUGAGGAAGGAGGCCAUCGAGGUGGUCCCUCCUCACGACAGAGGGUCCGGGUUCUACAGCCGGUACUUCAUAGUUCCAAAGAAGGAUGGAGGGUUGCGUCCCAUUUUAGAUCUGCGUCUGUUGAACCGCUCAGUCAAGCAGUUGAAGUUCAGGAUGCUCACUCUCAAACCGUUCGUGUCUCAGAUCAGGUCCGAGGACUGGUUUGUCACGAUAGAUCUAAAAGACGCAUACUUCCAUGUCUCCAUCCUUCCCAAUCACAGGAAGUUCCUGAGGUUCGCUUUUGGGGGAAAAGCGUACCAAUAUCAGGUUUUUCCCUUUGGCCUGGCACUCUCACCCCGCACUUUCACGAAGUGUGUGGAUGCAGCUCUGGCUCCGUUGCAACUCCAGGGCAUCCGCAUACUAAACUAUAUCGACGAUUGGUUGAUUUUAGCUCAGUCAGAGCAGGAGGCGGUUCGGCAUCGAGAUGUCGUUCUCGCCCAUAUGAAAGAGCUGGGGUUAAGACUAAACGCCAAGAAAAGUGUGCUUUCUCCAUUACAGAGGACCACUUAUCUGGGCGUGGUGUGGGAUUCGACCACGAUGCAGGCACGUAUGUCACCUGCUCGGAUCGAGUCGAUCCUCGCCGCAGUCGUGAGAGUGAGAGAAGGCCGGUCACUCACUGUCAAGCAGUUUCAAAAACUGCUGGGUCUGAUGGCAGCUGCGUCCAACGUGAUACCUAUUGGCCUGCUGUACAUGAGACCCCUACAGUGGUGGCUCAAGACCAAGGUGUUCUCCCCAAGGGGGAACCCACUUCGCAUGAUCAAGGUCACGUGGCGCUGCCUACGUGCCUUGGACAUGUGGAGGAAACCUUGGUUCUUGUCUCAGGGCCCGGUGCUGGGAGCUCCAUGUCGCCGCGUGACGCUAGC
ensembl:lncRNA